AGGACUGCCUGAUGGAGGGGGAUAACUACUGGAAACGGUAGCUAAUACCGCAUAACGUCGCAAGACCAAAGAGGGGGACCUUGGGCCUCUUGCCAUCGGAUGUGCCCAGAUGGGAUUAGCUAGUAGGUGGGGUAACGGCUCACCUAGGCGACGAUCCCUAGCUGGUCUGAGAGGAUGACCAGCCACACUGGAACUGAGACACGGUCCAG
rnacentral:rRNA from 1 species